rnacentral:sRNA from 1 species
GUGUCGUGCCGCUGGGUUCUGAGCCGGGGUGGUCGGUGGGUGGGAUGGAGGCGACCUUGGAGCAGCACUUGGAAGACACAAUGAAGAAUCCCUCCAUUGUUGGAGUCCUGUGCACAGAUUCACAAGGACUUAAUCUGGGUUGCCGUGGGACCCUGUCAGAUGAGCAUGCUGGAGUGAUAUCUGUUCUAGCCCAGCAAGCAGCUAAGCUAACCUCUGACCCCACUGAUAUUCCUGUGGUGUGUCUAGAAUCAGAUAAUGGGUGAGUAGAUUUCAGCAGAUCCUUUCCUUUUUGUUCAGAAAAAUUCCUGGUAAAAUUGGUGGGGGCCGGCCCUGUGUUCAUCAGUGAUUCCUUAUUCAGACUACUUUGGGAAAAGUUCUUAUCUUUUGGACCACAGGAACAGACAAGUUGAUCCCUAAAGCUAAUGUGCUCUCAGGCCACAAUGCUAUUUAAAUGAAGAAUAAGAAUUGGCAGAAGCUAUCAGUUUACCAACAAAAAGGAAGUAAUAGCACAAAGGAAAACUAAUCAGAGAAUAAAAAUUACUUUUUUUUUUUUUUCUUUUUGAGG